AUACGGAAGGUCCGGGCGUUAUCCGGAUUUAUUGGGUUUAAAGGGAGCGCAGGCGGAGAUGCAAGCGUGACGUCAAAUUUCGGGGCUCAACCCCGUCUCGCGUCGCGAACUGCGUCCCUUGGUUGCGGGAAGGGGAGGCGGAACUCGUGGUGUAGCGGUGAAAUGCAUAGAUAUCACGAAGAACUCCGAUCGCGAAGGCAGCCUUCCGGCCCGUCAACGACGCUCAUGCUCGAAGGUGCGGGUAUCAAACAGGAUUAGAUACCCUGGUAGUCCGCACAGUAAACGAUGGACACCCGCGGUUUGGCCUGUAUGGCUGAGCCGCCAAGCGAAAGCGUUAAGUGUCCCACCUGGGGAGUACGCCGGCAACGGUGAAACACAAAUGAAUUGGCGGGG
rnacentral:rRNA from 1 species